UACGUAGGGUGCAAGCGUUGUCCGGAAUUAUUGGGCGUAAAGAGCUCGUAGGCGGUGUGUCACGUCGGCCGUGAAAACCUGCAGCUUAACUGUGGGCGUGCGGUCGAUACGGGCAUCACUGGAGUUCGGCAGGGGAGACUGGAAUUCCUGGUGUAGCGGUGAAAUGCGCAGAUAUCAGGAGGAACACCGGUGGCGAAGGCGGGUCUCUGGGCCGAAAUUGACGCUGAGGAGCGAAAGCGUGGGGAGCAAACAGG
rnacentral:rRNA from 1 species